CAUGCCUACGGGAGGCAGCAGUGAGGAAUAUUGGUCAAUGGGCUAAGGCCUGAACCUGCCAAGUCGCGUGAGGGAAGACGGUCCUAUGGAUUGUAAACCUCUUUUGUCGGGGAGCAACGAGGCCACGUGUGGCCGAAGUGAGAGUACCCGAAGAAAAAGCAUCGGCUAACUCCGUGCCAGCAGCCGCGGUAAUACGGAGGAUGCGAGCGUUAUCCGGAUUUAUUGGGUUUAAAGGGUGCGCAGGCGGGCUGUUAAGCCGGCGGUAAAAAUUCAGGGCUCAACCC
rnacentral:rRNA from 1 species